rnacentral:snRNA from 1 species
GUGCUUUCUUGCUACGGCUGCACAUAUACUAAAAUUGAAUCGAUACAGAGAAGAUUAGCAUGGCCCUUGCAAAAGGAUGACAGGCAAAUCCAUGAAGAGCUCCAUAUUUUU